rnacentral:misc_RNA from 1 species
AAGCACCCUUUCUCUUCCAUUUCUUUGCACUAGAAUCAGCCACUCUAAGAGUACACAAAAACGAAACCAAGAAAUUCUCAUUCAACGAAUCUCCAACAAACCCAAUAUUCUUGUUCCUCAUUGAACCCAAGAACCCAACUGGGUCGAUCCGAGUUAAAUCACACUUGUCGGGUUUCCAUUUCCAAGAAUUGAUCCGACCCAUAUUCUCUCUUUGGUUUCUGAGACAGUUCCAGGCGUUCCUGUGAAAGGGGCAGGACUCAUCGUAAAUGGGUCUGCGAUUCGGGUCGCUAACCCACUUCCCUUUAAAGAGAUUACAAGAAGGAGAGAUGGGAAUUUUGGGUUUCGGAGGAGUAGGAGCAUAAAGUGGAAGGGAUAGGGAGUAGAGGAAAAUGAGAAGCAACGUCG